rnacentral:tRNA from 1 species
GCGAAAGUGGCGGAAUUGGCAGACGCGCCAGAUUUAGGUUCUGGUGCCGCAAGGUGUGGGGGUUCGAGUCCCCCCUUUCGCA